rnacentral:snRNA from 1 species
AUCGUUUCUCGGCCUUUUGGCUAAGAUCAAAGUGUAGUAUCUGAUACGUACCACAUCGGCUUGAAUGACUAGUAUACUCACUUAACUUGAUUAAGUGGAUUAGUUAGAACGCGUUCAAGCUGCGGGUAGCGAGCUCUAGCGGAUGGUCGUUUCUUAUACGUUUUGGUUCGCUCCCUUCUGCAUUCCUGUUCCGGUGGUUAGGGUCGGGCACUU